rnacentral:misc_RNA from 1 species
GCUCCUCGCCGGCUCACUCGACAGCUGUUGUCGACCGGUCUUGCUCAUCGCAUCAAGGUCAGCUCGAGUAUUAUGGUAGAGAGGUUCCCCGUGUCGGAAGAAGCCAUACUUCGCACCGACCCCAGGCCCGUGUGGACCGCGGUCUGGCAGGAGUCUCUGGCUGUCUCCAUACCUUCGCUUCUGCCUUCCUUCCGCAAAAAUUCCUAACAAACGUCUUCCCCGGCGGGCAUUUGUGACAGCCCACCCUCUCUGUGAACUUCGCAGCAUUCCGUCGACUCUUCUUACCGGUCGACCAGGAGUAGUUGGCAUAUUUUGCCGCCAUGAACGGAAAUAGUCAACAGCUACAGCUUGGCUUGGCCGCCAAGCUGACUUGUGCUGGCUCGGCUGCCUGCAUAGCGGACGCCAUCACUUUUCCUCUAGAUGUCGCCAAGGUUCGGUUGCAGAUCCAGGGCGAGGGCUCGACUGGCUACACCAGGUCGAAUCUCAAGUACCGCGGUGUGCUAGGCACCGUGGCGACCAUUGCUCGCCAAGAAGGACCCGCCCGGCUGUACGGUGGCAUCGGCCCGGGCCUCCAGAGGCAGUUCUGCUUCGCCACUGUGCGCAUCGGCUUCUAUGACAGCGUCAAAGAGUCAUACAGCAUGGCCAUUCUCGGCCACAACAAGGGCGGCAACUCUGCCUCCGUGCUGGGCGUCCGCAUCCUGGCUGCCGUCACCACGGGCGCGAUGGCCGUCGCUACGGCGCAGCCCACCGACGUGGUCAAGGUGCGCAUGCAGGCACAGUCAGGCACCGCUCCCCGCCGGUACCGAAACUCUUUCCAGGCGUACCGCACCAUCGGCCGAGAAGAGGGAGUCCGAGGACUCUACAAGGGCAUGCUUCCUAACAUCGCUCGCAACAGCAUCGUCAACGCGGCCGAGUUGGUGUGUUACGACAGCGUCAAGGAGGCCAUCCUGUCUCGGGGCCUGCUGGGGGACAACAUAUCGUGUCACUUCGUGGCCGCCUUCGGAGCGGGCUUCUGCGCCACCGUGGUCGCCUCGCCCGUGGACGUGGUCAAGACGCGGUACAUGAACGCCGGCGCCGGUCUCUACUCGGGCGCCAUGGAAUGCGCCGUGCGCAUGUUCCACGAGGGCGGCCUCAUGGCCUUCUACAAAGGGUUCACACCUUCAUUCGUUCGGCUAGGUUCCUGGAACAUCUGCAUGUUCAUCACGUACGAACAGCUGAAGCGACUGUUCCACUACAUGAACAGCGGUGACACCUCGUCCAACUGUCUGAUUGUGGGCCAGGACAAGUACCAUCUAUCCCGAUACUCUGUGCUGGCCGAGCCCAGCGCCGCCAUUAUCCUUUAACUCUGUACAUAUGCCCCACAUACCUUUCUCAUUUCACGUAUCACGCAUCUAGGAAAGAAGGACAGGAUGUAGGCUAGUACGUGUUCAUGCCUGAAUCCUUUGCACUGACGACAUUCAGUGGACGUACCACAGGGGGCACUCUCCAGUCAAAAUUAUCGCUUCACUACGCACGAAAUUUUCACUUACUGAACAACGUUUGCCUGGCAUCUAGAAAAGGAAUGACAGGAUUUACCCAAUAUAGGCUUGUACGCGUUCAUGCCUAAACUUUUUUGCACCGGCGACAUUCAUUAGACGUACAGCAGAUGACACGUUCCUGUCAAAAUUAUCGCUACGUACUAAUUUCGUCACUUCCUCAACAACAUUUGCCUAGGUCCAUUGGUUAAGCACAGCAGGAAAAGUUUGCAAGCUGAAGUAGUGACGUGAACAUAAGAGAGAGACGCACCUCUGUCGAUGUCAGUGCUUUGUGCUGAAAACCUUUCCUGCCAUGUCAGGUACCUUACAAGCCAGAAACUCUAAUUGUGUUUGCCGUCACAUUAACAUAGUGGUACCCAAACGCAGGUAGAAAUCUAGAAGUCAUCCAUCAUCGUCACAUUUUCUAUAUAUGAGGAGGGAAGUAGACGAAUUAUCGCUAUUAUAACACUAGAAUGGAGUCGAAGCAAACGUGCAGUCCUCUAUCAUGACCUCAUUAUCUCAGCUUUGACUCGCUUGGAGACAGACACAAUUAUCUGUCAAGCACGAAAUGUAACCUAAAAGGCGACAGUGCCGCUUUAUUAUUUUGCAGUUAAUACACCUUCAGUGCAUUUUAACGAAAAAAAAUCGUAUGUCAUCAGCCUUGCGCGAGGAACACCGGAACAUUAACAUCAUUCUGCCGUCCCAGCUGACGACGCAGUUAUCACCUCAUUGUGCCCUCAUCGUCGUGUUGAUCACAAACAACUUCAGGACGGCGUUGUACUCCGGACUUGUCGAUGUUUUGUUUCCUGCAGUAAUUUCUAUCUCGAGAUGAUGUCACCGAAUGUUACGCCCUCAAUACUACCACCUUUUUGGCGCCUUGUUUCCGGGCAUGACGGCGAUUGUAAUAAAAAUCCGUAUAUUUUUUA